AGCUGUUCCCCUCUGGAGGUUUUUUGACCUUCACACUUAUAGGGCCCUGGAGCGAUCCGGUGGCCCUUUUUUUUUGCCUGU
rnacentral:misc_RNA from 1 species